rnacentral:rRNA from 1 species
AUUAGUUUUUUAAUUGAAGGCUAGAAUGAAUGGUUGGACAAGAAAUAAUCUGUCUUAAUUAAAUAAAUUGAAUUUAACUUUUAAGUGAAAAGGCUUAAAUAAUCUAAAGGGACGAUAAGACCCUAUAAAACUUUAUAUUUAAUAAUAGUAAUUAAUUUUAUUUUAAGAGUAUUAUUUAAAAAUAUUUGGUUGGGGUGACAAGGAUAAAAUAUAAAAUAACUGUCUUUUUUUAUUACAAUAAUAUUUGGUUUAAUGAUCCUGAAAUGGAUUAAAGAUUAAGUUACUUUAGGGAUAACAGCGUAAUUUUCUUUAAGAGUUCUUAUCGACAAGAAAGUUUGCGACCUCGAUGUUGAAUUAAAAGUUCUUUAUAGAGUAGAGACUAUAAC